GCUCGCCUCCUCCUCCUCUCUCUCUCUCUCUCUCUCUCUCUCUCUCUCUAGGGGCGAUGCAGAGCGGCAAUGGAAGUCCUUAGCCUCAAACCUUUCCUUACGGUUUCCGCCGCCCACCUCUCCAGAAACCCUAAGCCCACUCCCUCCCACUUUAAUCCCUGUUGCACUCCCCAUUCCAAACCCUCCCCCUCAGUCUCCUUCGUCGCCCCUCCAAGAAAACCCUGGCCCCUCAAAACCCUAGAAACCCAACCCGAUGCCAACCCUAUCGCCCCCUUCUGCCUCCUCCUCCCAAUCUUCCACUCAUUCGGGGUUUUCGCCUUCUCUCGGGCGCCAAACAUUCGAUCUUGGCUCAAAGGUGGCCUUGUCGAGGACGAAGGGGGGUGUGGGAAUGAUUUGCUAUGCUGCGGAGGGAUUGGGAUGAUGGUGAUGAGCACCACGGCGGCGUUGUCGAAGGCCCAGGUCAGCCCUUUUUUGUGGACGCUGGCCGGGAACCCAACUUUCGUGUCGGGGCUUGUGGCGUGGGCGCUGGCACAGACUAUAAAGAUGCUCCUGAACUUCUUUGUGGAGCGGAGGUGGGACUUCAGGAUGCUAUUUAGUUCUGGAGGGAUGCCAUCGUCGCACUCGGCGCUGUGUAUGGCGCUGACUGCGUCGGUGGGCAUGUGCCAUGGGGCAGCAGACUCGUUGUUUCCUGUAUGCCUUGGUUUCAGCCUUAUUGUUAUGUAUGAUGCGACUGGGGUGCGGAGGCAUGCUGGGAUGCAGGCUAAGGUACUGAAUAAGAUCAUUGAGGACUUGUUUCAAGGGCAUCCUAUCAGUGAAAGAAAGCUUAAGGAGCUUCUAGGCCACACUCCAUCACAAGUCAUUGCUGGGGCUCUUCUAGGCAUCUUGGUUGCUUGUGUUUGCUGCCAAGGAUGUGUUUUUGCCAUUUAAGUUGAUUCUUCAGGUAAUGCACAUUAUUUGGGAUUUGAUAAAUCGAUCAUGUCGUGACCAAGAAUGCUAUUACUUUGAAGGCCUCACUUGGGGGAAGCUAGAGUUAUCAUGUUCAAGACCCUCUCCUAAACAAAAGGAAGGAUUUUCUUACUGGAUGGUCUUGGUCCGUCCCAGACAUAUCAUACCAUGCUGGUGGAGAACUGGCACCUGAUAUGCCGUCAUACCUAGUGUUGGUAUCAAGGGACGUCCGGUACCAAAACUAGGUAUAGAGUGUGCCCGUUGCGUACCAGUGUGGGUGCCGAAAUCAGUAGUUAAAACCUUGCUGAAAAGAGUUGCUGAUGAGGGAGGAAAAAAUAACAACAGGAAAGAUGAAUGAAGAAAGGAGAGAUGCUGUGAAGAAAUUUUUUAGAAAUUUGAAUUGCAGACUAUUGCUGAGCUUAUGUUCUAUUAAGUGACCCAUAGUGCAUGUACGGUCCCUUCUGCUGAUUUGCGCAUGUGAUGACUGCAUGCAAUCUCCCUGCUAUUACCUCUUGUGCAGGACUUAUUUUCAUAAUAUUAGUAUCUUAAAAUUAUGUUCACCACCUUUUUCCUGUCAGCUCCUGUAUCGAGGCACCCAAGGAAAUCUGAUGCGCAGGUAGCCAGAUGAAUAGAACAAAGGCAGAUGGCAUGUGACUAAAGGAGAAGUAGGCAGCAAUUUCUGCUGCAUAAUCCCAAUCAAGCAGCAAAGAACCUGAAGAUCGGGGUCUCCAAGAGUUCAUCUGCGUGUUGAAAAUUCCUGAUAAGAUCCAUAUAGAAUUGUUGGGUCACUGUAAAAUUGAUGUCGAGAAUUUUAGUCAUUAGAAGGAGAAAGAAUUUAUCUGUGUUUCCUUUGUGGAUAGCUCAUUUAUAUUUGUAAUUUCAUCCAUCAAUUUUCUGGCAGUGGCUUU